ACCGAUUUGUAUAACAGUGCAAAAACAAAAUUUAUAUUCCAGCGUCAAAACUUCUUACAAAAACCUAAAAUAUUUUAUUCCAGGAUACUUCCUUAAGACACUUUUACUUUUAAAUUGGCUAUAAGAAACCAAGAAAAACGGCUUGUUAUCCAAAUUAAAUACACGUUUUUGUGUCUCAUUUGCUUUUUAUAAAACAGUUUAAUUCGUCAGUUCAACAUAUCGUAUAAGAUAUAUAACGUAAACGAAAAGCGCAACAUCAAAGGGAACAGCGGUGCCGUAAACUUAGGAUAAUAAUUUUUUAUUUUGACGGUAUAAAAUCGUUGAACGCAUACACACCUUUUAUUUAUUUAUUUUUUGCCUGAUCCAAACGUACAGAACAUCCAGGCCUAUUUAUCACCAAGGGCGUGAUAAACAUUUUAAAACUUCACACGUCAUAGACAUGGAAUAUGGCUGUAACCUUUCGAAAAUGUGCGGCGUUGGAUGAGCCGCGACAAGAUAAUUGCAUAUAAUCCAGCAAGCUGAUACAUGAAUGUCCGUCAUUUCAUCGUCUUUGUAGUCAGGAAAACAUUAACUAUUUGCACAAUGAAAGAACACAUCAAAGUGGGAAAAAAACAAUGAAAGCGGACUAAUAUUAAGUCUACAAGAAAAUUCACAUAUCGAUCCACACUGGUACUUUUUCAAAAUAGGUUUACGUUGAAAUGUAGGCAUAUUGGCAAUCAACAUGUGAACGAAUUGGUUUUAAAGUGAAAAAUAACUAAAACAUCAUCAGAAGCUGAAACACAUGUUGACUUCAAUCUUAACUCAAAACUGACAUUCAUUUACGAUGCAACAUAAAUCAGUUUCAUAAUGUCUUAAAGCAUAACGUAAAGAGACCGUAGAGGAUAAUUCACUAGUUCAAUGCUGCUUUAAAUGACAGUUACUAGACUCUUCCACUCAUCCUAUACUUGUAAUCCUUCCAGUUUUUUUUAAAAGAUUCCUAGAAAAUUUGUUUUGGGAAAACAGGAGUUUCCGGAGGGUAUUUCGUGGAAAUGUAUGAGCGUUGGACGCUCUCCCAUCGCAGCCCAGUAAAACGUCGCUAUUUAGCGAGCAUGGUUUUAGUCAAAUGGACGCAUUAUUUAACGGAUGGAAAGGAGAAAGACUUCUUUUCAUUCAACGAUUUUAUGUCUGUUUGUGGGAAGAUGCACAAAGACAUCAUUUCAUCUUGGGGUUGGGCGGGGGAGCUGUGGACUUACAUUUUCUAAACAUACGAGAAUAAACAAAAUAAUACCAGAUUCAUAUUUAUUAUGUUCAUAAAUGGGGUACUUCACGAUAACGAUCUAAUUAAGUAUUCGCUAGAUCAGUAGUGAAUACAAGGAUCAAAUUCCACAAAGUCGGUGCAUAAAACGUAUUAAGGAAAGAAAUAUUCUCAUGCUGAUCCAUUUUUUUUAGGAAAACCUCUUUUCUGCAUUCCGCACUGAGAGCACUGAAGACUUCGUUUACCGGUCUCACUUGUGGGCAGCUUCUCUUCACUGUAACACCAGUUCGUCCAUUACCCGACUUUUAAAUAUUCCUUCUACAUCCACUGUUAUUCUUACUGGCAUUUGCUCCUAUUAUAGCGGGGAAUGUAUACUUGCCUUCUUGAAAAUAAAAAGUCAGACCAUUACCCUGAAUUCCCCCUCAGCAGUUCUAAUAGAGAAACCUCCCCCCCCCCCAACAAAAAGAGCUUAGUAUCCCCACAACUGUGUGUUGGAUAAGCAGAAAGAUGGUUAAAUAGAUGGACUUUAAUACAUGGCCCCAGAAAAAGGUUCAGUUCAGAACAUAAAUGUGUAUUCGAUAAUUGCUUUAAAACUUUUAAUUGGCCUUCUUUAUCUUCUAAUUACUCCCGUAAUGUUAAAAAUGUCAGUAACUGUAGGCCUUAAAUUUAUCAGCGGACAUUGCAAAUAACGGUUUACUACCGCCACCCUGUGGCGAAAAAGUAGACCGCACAUUCCGUAGAUGCGCCUGGAGCACGAAGCAGUAUCUGAGACAUAUCCUAGUUGACCAAAAAUUUUAACUCGCCGCGUGCUGUGCCUCUGUAUAACCCGUAAAGAUGUCUACUCUGUUUACCGCACACUGUUCAGCUCCAUUUCUGUAUGUCGGUAGACGCUACCUCAUUCACGGAGACAACAGACGAUGAGGGGAUGCCCUUCCACCCUCCAGAGCUUCGGGUUUGAGUCCGGCCUCAAGCUUCUUACGUUUUCCCAAUCUACACAUUGGCUUCCACUCACAGUCAACCUGAUCAGGGUGCAUUCUGCCAUCAUUCACAAAUGAGUGCGGAUUGUAUGUGGCAGGACCGAUCGUCUAGGAUGCCAUUAGAUCAGAGGACACAAACCCUGUGAUGGAUCAGCAAGACCUUUCCCUUGAAUUGGGCUCAGAACCCAGCUUUGAACAUGCACCAGGUAAGUACCAGAGCAGAGGUGGGUACCAGGAUACCAGCUCUCCAGGCCCGGAGUUGGAGACCGCUGAUUAUGAGGAUCAAUAGAUUAUUUCUCCAGAAAACUUGAACAAAUAAGUCAAUCAAAACUUAAAAUAAGGCCAGCCAGGGCAUUUAAUACAGCUUGUUUUCUGUUGUUCUUGCCAGGUAUCAUCUCCAUUAUCCUCCAGGUCAGGCCAAGGAAUGGAAUCAGAUACAUGCUGAAUUCUACAGAUGAAUGAAUUUCCCUUUAUAUCCACACAUAAGUACAUAACCUCAUCUAAUAGCACAUGUCUCCUGCA